CUUGUGGACUGUUAUAUCAAAUGGAAGUAGAUUUUAUAUUUUAUGAUAUAAGGACAAAACCAGACAGGUUGAAGCAAGAA
rnacentral:sRNA from 12 species